CUUCAAGUGCUGAGAUUACAGGUGUGAGUCACGCAUUUCCAGAGCUGGUGAUUGAGGGAGUGUAUUGCAUUCCUAACUAUUCUUGUGUGCAGUUUAACCAGGUCAGAACAAAGAAAACAAAUCUAAGUCUGGAAAAAGAAUUUAACUUGUGCUAGAAAGACUUUUUUUCCAACCCACGAAGGGCUUCAGCA